AGUGAACGCUGGCGGUAGGCCUAACACAUGCAAGUCGAACGGCAGCACAGUAAGAGCUUGCUCUUACGGGUGGCGGGUGGCGGACGGGUGAGGAAUACAUCGGAAUCUACUUUUUCGUGGGGGAUAACGUAGGGAAACUUACGCUAAUACCGCAUACGACCUACGGGUGAAAGCAGGGGAUCUUCGGACCUUGCGCGAUUGAAUGAGCCGAUGUCGGAUUAGCUAGUUGGCGGGGUAAAGGCCCGCCAAGGCGACGAUCCGUAGCUGGUCUGAGAGGAUGAUCAGCCACACUGGAACUGAGACACGGUCCAGACUCCUACGGGAGGCAGCAGUGGGGAAUAUUGGACAAUGGGCGCAAGCCUGAUCCAGCCAUACCGCGUGGGUGAAGAAGGCCUUCGGGUUGUAAAGCCCUUUUGUUGGGAAAGAAAAGCAGCAGGUUAAUACCCCGCUGUUCUGACGGUACCCAAAGAAUAAGCACCGGCUAACUUCGUG
rnacentral:rRNA from 1 species